rnacentral:rRNA from 1 species
GACGAACGCUGGCGGCGUGCUUAACACAUGCCAGUCGAACGGACAGGCCCUGCUUUUGUGGGGUGCUCGAGUGCCGAACGGGUGAGUAACACGUGAGUAACCUCCCCUUGACUUUGGGAUAACUUCAGGAAACUGGGGCUAAUACCGGAUAGGAGCUCCUGCUGCAUGGUGGUGGUUGGAAAGUUUCGGCGGUUGGGGAUGGACUCGCGGCUUAUCAGCUUGUUGGUGGGGUAGUGGCUUACCAAGUCUUUGACGGGUAGCCGGCCUGAGAGGGUGAACGGCCACAUUGGGACUGAGAUACGGAGCAGACUGCUACGGGAGGCAGCAGUGGGGAAUAUUGCACAAUGGGCGGAAGCCAGAGGCAGCAACGCCGUGUGCGGGAUGACGGGCUUCGGGUUGUGAACCGCUUUCGCCUGUGACGAAGCGGGAGUGACGGUAAUGGGUAAAGAAGCAACGGCUAACUACGUG